rnacentral:rRNA from 1 species
UAGCUAGUGGUAAGGUAAGGCUUACCAAGGCGAUGAUGCAUAGCCGAGUUGARRGACUGAUCGGCCMCAAGGAACUGAGACACGGUCCAUACUCCUACGGGAGGCAGCAGUAGGAAUCUUCCACAAUGGGCGCAAGCCUGAUGGAGCAACACCGCGUGAGKGAAGAAGGGUUUCGGCUCGUAAAACUCUGUUGUUGAAGAAGAACGUGCGUGAGAGUAACUGUUCAUGCAGUGACGGUAUUCAACCAGAAAGUCACGGCUAACUACGUGCCAGCAGCCGCGGUAAUACGUAGGUGGCAAGCGUUAUCCGGAUUUAUUGGGCGUAAAGCGAGCGCAGGCGGUUACUUAGGUCUGAUGUGAAAGCCUUCGGCUUAACCGAAGAAGUGCAUCGGAAACCGGGCGACUUGAGUGCAGAAGAGGACAGUGGAACUCCAUGUGUAGCGGUGGAAUGCGUAGAUAUAUGGAAGAACACCAGUGGCGAAGGCGGCUGUCUGGUCUGCAACUGACGCUGAGGCUCGAAAGCAUGGGUAGCGAACAGGAUUAGAUACCCUGGUAGUCCAUGCCGUAAACGAUGAGUGCUAGGUGUUGGAGGGUUUCCGCCCUUCAGUGCCGCAGCUAACGCAUUAAGCACUCCGCCUGGGGAGUACGACCGCAAGGUUGAAACUCAAAGGAAUUGACGGGGGCCCGCACAAGCGGUGGAGCAUGUGGUUUAAUUCGAAGCUACGCGAAGAACCUUACCAGGUCUUGACAUCUUGCGCUAACCUAAGAGAUUAGGCGUUCCCUUCGGGGACGCAAUGACAGGUGGUGCAUGGUCGUCGUCAGCUCGUGUCGUGAGAUGUUGGGUUAAGUCCCGCAACGAGCGCAACCCUUGUUACUAGUUGCCAGCAUUCAGUUGGGCACUCUAGUGAGACUGCCGGUGACAAACCGGAGGAAGGUGGGGACGACGUCAGAUCAUCAUGCCCCUUAUGACCUGGGCUACACACGUGCUACAAUGGCCGGUACAACGAGCAGCUAACCCGCGAGGGUGUGCAAAUCUCUUAAAGCCGGUCUCAGUUCGGACUGCAGUCUGCAACUCGACUGCACGAAGUCGGAAUCGCUAGUAAUCGCGGAUCAGCAUGCCGCGGUGAAUACGUUCCCGGGCCUUGUACACACCGCCCGUCACACCAUGGAAGUUUGCAAUGCCCAAAGUCAGU